UGGGGAAUUUUGGACAAUGGGCGAAAGCCUGAUCCAGCAAUGCCGCGUGUGUGAAGAAGGCCUUCGGGUUGUAAAGCACUUUUGUCCGGAAAGAAAUCCUUGGCCCUAAUACAGUCGGGGGAUGACGGUACCGGAAGAAUAAGCACCGGCUAACUACGUGCCAGCAGCCGCGGUAAUACGUAGGGUGCAAGCGUUAAUCGGAAUUACUGGGCGUAAAGCGUGCGCAGGCGGUUUGCUAAGACCGAUGUGAAAUCCCCGGGGCUCAACCUGGGAACUGCAUUGGUGACUGGCAGGCUAGAGGUAUGGCAGAGGGGGUAGAAUUCCACGUGUGAGCAGUGAAAGUGCGUAGAGAUGUGGAGGAAGUACCGAUGGCGAAGGCAGCCCCUGGCCAAUACUGACGCUGCAUGCACGAAAGCGUGGGGAGCAAAC
rnacentral:rRNA from 1 species